AUGGAGAGAGAGACAGAGAGGAAGAGGCUGGAGCAUCUGAGAACCUUGGCCCCGUCUGGCCGGCCCUGUCCCGUUCACUCCAGCUCUGUCCUUCCUCUCGCCCCGGAAGCCCAGACCCAGCCGGGCCCUCUCCCUGACUACCGCUCUGAGGACACCGGGAUCUUGAUACUCACCCCAGGACCCCUGCGGCCCCCAGAGCUGACCCAGGCCCAGGGGAAGGAGGGCCGGCGAGGACAACGAGAGCAGACCCAGGGCCAGGACUGGGUAGGACACGGCUCCCACGGAGAAGGCACGGUCCACCUGCCCCAAGCAGGAAGUGGAAACGAGAAACCAAACAGGUGGCGCGGGGCAAAGUCUGCCGGGAAGGCCGAAAAGGUGGCGUUCCCGCCUGCACACACCCAGACCUGCCCGUCAGGGGUCUGCCAGGGCCCCCGGACCCAGGAGGGAGGCCCUUCACCCGAGUCGCCCCCCACCGGCCCGUCCACAGAGCCAGGCCUCCAGGGCGUGGCUGGCUGCUGCUGCCCAGCUCCCCGGGGCCACAGGCCGGGUCCGAGGCGGGGCUCAGGUCAAUACAGAGGACGGGUGAGACAGCAGCGCACCGGCCCGGACCCCGUGGGGUCUGUGGUCUGCAGCCCCAGCUCACACCGGGCUGGGAGGGGGGCCAACGUCAGGUGGCUGACGGAGACUGGAAGUCGCCCGAGCAUCGGGUCCUCCUGUGGGGCGGGAGCGGGUAAGAGCCCUCUUUCGGUCACUCUUGUCCUCAGCAGAAUGAGCCCCGCUGGUGCCCACCCCACAGGCCCUUCCAGGCCAAGGACUCCAGGGCAGACAUGGGGGCACACUGAGUAUGGCCAGGGCUCGGACACGUGUUCAGCAAGGACAUCGAAGCCCAGAGAACACAAGCUACUUCUGGAGGUCACUCGGUCAGAGAGAGGCGGCCACGCCCAGGACAGCCGGGCCUGCCUGCCUGUUGAGGAUGCCCUGGGGGUGAGGUCUCCUUCAGCUCUGCCUCCCACGAAGGAACCAUGCGAAGGAACCACAAGCUGGCGCAGGCCCAGGGGGCUGGCGGCCAGGAGGGCGCGAGCCUCCUCUGGUGCGGGGGCCACGGCCCGUGCCCCACCGGCCCAGCCGUGUCCUGGAAGCCCGGCUGGUGUCUGGCCGCCUCUGCCAGGCUGCCUCUCCGUCCGUGGCACCUCCAGAUCCUGGAGCCCCACCUCCGUCCUCCACUCGACCCCAGAGAACUGGUCACCGCGAGGGGUCUUGCUCACACGUGAAGGGGCGUGGGGCAGUGAGGUCUUCUUCGGGCCUGUGUCGCGGCCCCCAGCCCUCCUUUGGAAGGUGAGGACGGCGACGCCACGGCGCUGGCCAGUCAGGGAAGCAGCGGGGGUGGGGAGAGAGGCCGGCAGAGACCAGGGCUGA
rnacentral:lncRNA from 1 species